GACGAACGCUGGCGGCGUGCUUCACACAUGCAAAUCGAACGAAGUGGCGAACGGGUGAGUAACGCGUAAUCAACCUGCCCUUCAGAGGGGGACAACAGUUGGAAACGACUGCUAAUACCGCAUAAUGAAGGAGGGGAUUAGGUCUGAUUAGCGAGUUGGCGGGGUAACGGCCCACCACGGCGAUGAUCAGUAGCCGGUCUGAGAGGAUGAACGGCCACAUUGGGACUGAGACACGGCCCAGACUCCUACGGGAGGCAGCAGUGGGGAAUCUUCCGCAAUGGACGAAAGUCUGACGGAGCAACGCCGCGUGAGUGAUGACGGCCUUCGGGUUGUAAAGCUCUGUUAAUCGGGACGCGGUACCGGAAUAGAAAGCCACGGCUAACUACGUGCCAGCCGCCGCGGUAAUAC
rnacentral:rRNA from 1 species